UUUUCUGUUGUUUUUAGAUUCAAGUGACGAAAACUUAUGAAAUGAUAUUUUAAGUUUAAACUGAUCAAUUAAUUUAAUUAAUUGAUUUAUUGUAGCAACAAUGGUAAAUUGUUUAAAUAGAGAAAGAAAUUUACAACGAAAAAUGUAUGAAUGUAAUAUUUGAAAUCUAAAAUGAUAAAUUAUUGUGCGAAAAUAAUAAAACUCGCAAUGUCAGCACAUGGUCUCAUUAGAACGUGUUUAACGAGCGUAGCGUAAGCGUGAAAAUGAAAACGUUGAGGCUCUCGUGGUGUAAAAAGGCUAAAUUCCUCAUAAAAAUACAAGAAAUGAGAGGGAACGUUCGCCCUUGAACACAUAAAACCAAAAAAAAAAAAAAAAAAAAAAAAAAAUAGAAAAGGAAAAAAACCACAAAUUUUAGUGAAGCUAUUUUACUGAAACUUAUAUCAUUUUAACAGCUAUAUAUAAAACGUUGAAUUAUUUCCUUUCGCGCAGAGCAAUUUUACUUCAAAUUUCUAGCUUCAGAAUGAUAAUUACGUAUUUGUAAUUAUCAACAAGCUUUAAAAAUAUGGAAUAUUCAGCCAGAUGAAAUAUAGGUAAAGUAUUUAGAAGAAAAAAGAUUGAAAUGUUUUAUGUAAAACGAUUAAAUUAAGUGGUUGAGUUUGAAAAUUUGACUCGGUUUAAUAAUUCAAUGGAAAAAAUAUUCGCCCUAUGAAAAAAAAUUCAUGUUCCUGUCGAUAUAUCGGCGAGGUGCUCCUCUACUUUCGACUGCUCUGCAAUUCAAAUGCAAUACUCGAAUAUACAUGGCGAAAGAAAUGGAAAUUGAGGAAUUUAAGGGAACCAAUUACUCUCGCGUCGACGUAACUUCAAAAUGUUUCACGUGUCGGUGUUUGCGAAAUGAAGUUCGUCGUUAUCCGAUUAACACGCUUGCAGAUGCGUUCUUUUUGUUGCAAAGUAAAUGGACAAAUUGUGAACAAAUAAUGUUUACAAUUACAUCAAAAUUAAUGUCCUAAACUUUACCAAGAAUUAUUAAAAAUCCCUGCGUAUUGCUUACGUAAUGUUGAUAUUGAGUAGUACCAUACAUAACCUCAACAUUAUGAUACUUACAAACAUCGCUAAACAAGUAGUGCGAACGAUGUCGACAUUUCGCUUGGCGUUGGUACAACUUGAAGUAAAUGAAGUAAAACGCAAAAAUGUAGAGCGGGCAGUUUCCUACAUUUCUAGCGCAAAAGAGCGCAAUGCUGAUAUUAUAGCUCUUCCUGAAUGCUUUAAUUCACCAUAUGGAAUACGUAAUAAUUUGUUUUUUUUUUCAAUAAUUUACCAUGUGUGUAACAACUAUAUAGAAAAAAGUAAAAGUAGACAAAUUACCUUACCGUUUAUACUUCCAUAAAGAUUGUGAAUUGAGUCGAGAAUAUAGGAUUUCCCCAUUUU